GCCGGCAGCUAGCUCUCUGCAACUCUCACAUGGUCGCCCACUGAAGCUAAGUAGGGCUGCGUCUGGUCAGUACCUGAAUGGGAAACCACAUGGGAAAGCUAGGUGAAUGCAGGAA
rnacentral:rRNA from 1 species